rnacentral:rRNA from 1 species
AGAGUUUGAUUAUGGCUCAGAUUGAACGCUGGCGGCAUGCCUAACACAUGCAAGUCGAACGGAAACGAUGAAGAGCUUGCUCUUCAGGCGUCGAGUGGCGGACGGGUGCGUAACGCGUAGGAAUCUACCUUAUAGUGGGGGACAACUCGGGGAAACUCGAGCUAAUACCGCAUAAUCCUUACGAGGGAAAGCAGGGGAUCUUCGGACCUUGUGCUAUUAGAUGAGCCUGCGUCGGAUUAGCUAGUUGGUAGGGUAAUGGCCUACCAAGGCAACGAUCCGUAGCUGGUCUGAGAGGACGACCAGCCACACUGGGACUGAGACACGGCCCAGACUCCUACAGGAGGCAGCAGUGGGGAAUAUUGGACAAUGGGCGCAAGCCUGAUCCAGCAAUGCCGCGUGUGUGAAGAAGGCCUUAGGGUUGUAAAGCACUUUCAGUAGGGAAGAAAUGCGUAAAGUUAAUAACUUUGCGUCUUGACGGUACCUACAGAAGAAGCACCGGCUAACUCCGUGCCAGCAGCCGCGGUAAUACGGAGGGUGCAAGCGUUAAUCGGAAUUACUGGGCGUAAAGCGCGCGUAGGCGGCUAUAUAAGUCGGAUGUGAAAGCCCUGGGCUCAACCUGGGAUCUGCAUUCGAUACUGUAUAGCUAGAGUUUGGUAGAGGGAAGUGGAAUUCCACAUGUAGCGGUGAAAUGCGUAGAUAUGUGGAGGAACACCAGUGGCGAAGGCGACUUCCUGGACCAAAACUGACGCUGAGGUGCGAAAGCGUGGGUAGCAAACAGGAUUAGAUACCCUGGUAGUCCACGCCGUAAACGAUGUCAACUAGCCGUUGGG